rnacentral:tRNA from 1 species
UCUCUGGUGGCUCAGAGGUUAAAGCAUCUACCUGCAAGGUGGGAGAUCCGGAUUCAAUUUCUGGGUUGGGAA